GACGAACGCUGGCGGCGUGCUUAACACAUGCAAGUCGAACGCUGAAGCUCAGCUUUUGUUGGGUGGAUGAGUGGCGAACGGGUGAGUAACACGUGAGUAACCUGCCCCCUUCUUUGGGAUAACGCCCGGAAGCGGGUGCUAAUACCGGAUAUUCACUGGUCUUCGCAUGGGGGUUGGUGGAAAGGGUUUUUCUGGUGGGGGAUGGGCUCGCGGCCUAUCAGCUUGUUGGUGGGGUGAUGGCCUACCAAGGCUUUGACGGGUAGCCGGCCUGAGAGGGUGACCGGUCACAUUGGGACUGAGAUACGGCCCAGACUCCUACGGGAGGCAGCAGUGGGGAAUAUUGCACAAUGGGCGCAAGCAUGAUGCAGCGACGCCGCGUGAGGGAUGGAGGCCUUCGGGUUGUGAACCUCUUUCGCUCAUGGUCAAGCCGCAACAAUGGUUGUGGUGAGGGUAGUGGGUAAAGAAGCGCCGGCUAACUACGUG
rnacentral:rRNA from 1 species